UCAUUCUUUCCAUCUUCCACAGCAGCAGCAGCAGCAGCAGGAGAAUCAGAGCCAGAAAGAUCAAGCCUGACCAGCCAAGAUGCCUGAGCAAGUACAAGAGCGAAAGUCCAAGAUCUCAGCCUCUCGCAAGCUGAUGCUGAAGAGCUUGAUGGUGGCUAAAGCUAAAGACGAGCUGGAGCAGGAGUGUGAGGAGAAGCAGGAGGAGAAGCAGAGGUACCUGGAAGAGAAAGCGCCUCCCGUCAGCACCAGCGGCAUGUCGUUUGCAGAGCUACAGGACCUGUGCCGGGAGCUGCACGCCAAGAUCGACGUGGUGGACGAAGAGCGAUAUGACAUCGAGGCGAAAGUCCUUCACAACACCAGAGAGAUCAAGGACCUGAACAUCAAAGUUCUGGACCUGCGGGGGAAGUUCAAGCGCCCCACCCUGCGGAGGGUGAGGGUGUCGGCCGACGCCAUCCUGCGGUCGCUGCUGGGCUCCAAGCACAAGGUGUCCAUGGACCUGCGCGCCAACCUCAAGUCCGUCAAGAAGGAGGACACGGAGAAGGAGAGGCCAGUGGAGGUCAGCGACUGGAGGAAGAAUGUGGAGGCCAUGUCCGGCAUGGAGGGCAGGAAGAAGAUGUUCGAUGCCGCCAAAGGCCCCGUGCAGUGAGGAAUCAAUGGGGGCCCCAAACAGAGAGGAGGUGAGAAUUCACAGGGGCCCCAAACAGAGAGGAGGAUAUAAUGGAAGCACAGAAGUGGCCUGUGACAUCACAGAAGUGGCUGUUGACAUCACAGAUAUGACACCUACUUGAUUUCUCUUUCAGUGAAAAUUAAAAAGACAUCUUAUCAUUGC